GGCCGUCUAGCUCAGUUGGUUAGAGCGUCGUGCUAAUAUUAGUCGUCCUUUGGACCCUGUAACGCGAAGGUCUUGGGUUCGACCCCCACGAUGGCCA